rnacentral:lncRNA from 1 species
AGAACACCUUCAAACAUGUUCAGCAACCUACUACAACAGCGAUGGAAUCCCCAAAUUUCUUCUACACAAGUUUGUGUUGCAAAUCCCUCUUGCAAUUGGGUACGAUCCAGUUUCUUUCUCAUCUCCUCACCAUUUAUUUUCAAACUUUAAACAGCUGAUUUGAAAAGAAAAAAAAAAGAAUGUAACGCAUAAAUUUGAUCUCUCUCUACCCUAAUUCACAAUUUCCUGCUCCUCACCACUUCUCUCGCGUUCCCCAAUUUCUGUGCGGUGGAAAUGACGGUGGUCGCUUGCGGAGAAGAUAGAAGCACUCGCAGGUUAGUUUCCCUGUUUUUACUUGAAUAUUCAUUCAUUGUGUUCCAUAUUCCUUUUAUUCAUUGCUUAGGUUAGUUUCCUCAUCGUGUUUAUUCAUACAAAUAUGCAUACAAUCCUAGCUUUGUUAUCUAAAUCGAUCAAACUUGUUGGGUUACACAAAUAUAAUAAUAUACCCAAUGUCUAUGGAUACUCAUUCAUCACCGACACAACUACAAUGACAAUAAUAUUUAUAAAAUGUCACAUUAAAAUCCAAAGCAUUCAGCAACAAGGAAACAUUGUUACAUAUGUUGUUCAAACAAAAUUAUUACCGACAAUAAAUGACUCAAAACAUACUGAAUAGUUAACUGGGUCUAACAUUCAUCAAUGAAAAGAUUGAUAGCCACUUAAAUGUUGUUUGACUUACCAUCAUCAUUCAGUUGAUGCUUGACGGAUGCAUGUUCUGAUCUUUUUUUCUCCUUGAGCUUCUCAACAAGCUCUUGCAUUUGUUUGAGCUUGACCAAUCUAUCUUCCAACUUCUUUCUAUCCUCCAACGGAUGAUCCACUUCAGCCACUUUGUUUGCUUCUAAUAAUUUUGCAGUCAUGCGAGGAGAUGCCCAAACUGUAGGUAUAGUCUCACCUGGACCUUUGGUAAGAAUGCAGACUUCAACACCAUGUUCGGUACUCAGCGCGUCGAUAUCCUCCAACAACUUUGGUAUUAUUCUCUUGAAUCUUUUCUCUCCCCGUGUCUCAUCCAAGUUAGGGGAAGCCAUGAACCCAAGUGUUUAUCCUUUAAUACAAAAAUAUAUAUAUAUAUAUAUGAGCCUAACAAAAUUACGAACAAACAAAAUUCCAAAAGUGAAAUCGAACAAACAAAAUUCCAAAAGUGAAAUCGAACAAACAAAAUCAUGAAAAUGAAAUCGAACAAACGAAAUUCCAAAAGUGAAAUCAAACAUAUACUAAACAAAAAAAAUAAAUCCUAGAUGGUGCAUCACAAACAAACAAUCGCAAAUGAACAUAAAUCAAACUAUGAAUCUAGGGAUUAGGGUUAGCCGAUUAGGAUCUUAUUAAAAGGAAGAAGAUCACGAAUAAAUAAUGAGAAUUAUGAAGGAAAAGGAAGAGGAACUAGAUUAAGAAAAACAACCUGGUUGAAAAACGAGAAAUGAAUGCGGAUCGAAAACGAGAGGUUGAGUGUGCGUGCGGCGAAUAGAGGUGGGGCUCAGAUUGGUUGCGUAUCAAUCAUGGUUAAGAGAAUAAGAGGAAAUUGAGUCGAUGAUGGGCCUGAAGUGCCAAGUGGGUUGGGCCCUCAAAGACAAAAUUUCAUUACGAAUCGAAGGGUAGAAAUAACAACUAAGGGAGGUACGAAUAGAAAGAAGAGAAUUAAAUUAUGAAAAUUGGGCCGCCAAAUUUUGAGGCCCGGUGCUACGGACGUGGUUGUGCACCCUUAGGGUCGACCCUGUCUAUGGUUAAUGUCUUGUUAAAUAGCAGCGCCAUAGCAAAACAGAAUUUGGACAAAUCAUUAAUGUUCCGUGAUACACUAUUUAUUACAAAAUAUUGUCAAAUAUCAACUACAAUGACGUAGCAUUAUUGCGUUGCGGAGAUUGAACAAACUGCUAUUUUCGCAGUCCGCAAUUGACAACACCGGGUUGAACAUGCCGCCUAGAAUAAUACUUUUAAUUAGUCAGAUCCUCGUUAUAAUGCUUGAGGGUUCAUGGCUGCCACUAAUUUGGAUGAGAAAUGGAGAGAGAGAAGAUUCAAGAGAAUAUUACCAAAGUUGUUGGAGGAUAUCGACACGUUGAGUGCCCAAUGUGGUGUUGAGGCCUGCGUAAUUACCAAAUGCCCACGUGAUACGAGGCCUACAAUUUGGGCAUCUCCUGCCAUGACUGAAAAAUUCUUGGAAGCAAACAAAGAGGUUGAAGUGGAUCAUCUGUUGAAGAAGAAAAGGAGAUUGGAAGAUAAAUUUGUCAAGCUCAAACAACUACAAGAGCUUGAUGAGAAGUUGAAGGAGAAAAGGAGAUAGGAAGAUGUAUCUGUCAAGCAUCAAAUAAAUGAUGAUGGUAAGUCUGACAACAUUUAAGUGGAUAUCUAUCUUUUUAUUGGUGAAUGCUAGAACUAAUUAACCUUUCAGUAUGUUUUGAGUCAUUUAUUCUAUCAGUAAUGAUUUUGUUUGAACAACAUAUGUAAUA